UACAGAGGGUGCAAGCGUUGUUCGGAAUUAUUGGGCGUAAAGGGCGCGUAGGCGGUGCCACAAGUCACCUGUGAAAUCUCCGGGCUUAACUCGGAGCCUGCAGGCGAAACUGUGGUGCUGGAGUGUGGGAGAGGUGCGUGGAAUUCCCGGUGUAGCGGUGAAAUGCGUAGAUAUCAAGUGGAACACCAGUGGCGAAGGCGAGUACCUGGACAACUCCUGACACUGAGGCACGAAAGCUAGGGGAGCAAACAGG
rnacentral:rRNA from 1 species